rnacentral:rRNA from 1 species
ACUCAAAUGAAUAGACGGGGGCCCGCACAAGCGGUGGAGUAUGUGGUUUAAUUCGAAGCAACGCGAAAAACCUUACCAGCUCUUGACAUGGUGAUUAAGGCGAAGAGAGAUCUUUGUCGUCGGUUCGGCCGGAUCACACACAGGUGCUGCAUGGCUGUCGUCAGCUCGUGUCGUGAGAUGUUGGGUUAAGUCCCGCAACGAGCGCAACCCUCAUCGUUAGUUGCCAUCAGGUUUGGCUGGGCACUCUAACGAAACUGCCGGUGAUAAGCCGGAGGAAGGUGGGGAUGACGUCAAGUCCUCAUGGCCCUUAUGGGCUGGGCUACACACGUACUACAAUGGUGGUGACAGUAGGCUGCGAAAGGGCAACCUGGAGCAAAUCCUCAAAAACCAUCUCAGUUCAGAUUGUUCUCUGCAACUCGAGAACAUGAAGUCGGAAUCGCUAGUAAUCGUAGAUCAGCAUGCUACGGUGAAUACGUUCUCGGGCCUUGUACACACCGCCCGU